rnacentral:tRNA from 4 species
AGGCACGUAGCUCAGUUGGUAGAGUACCACCUCGACAAGGUGGGUGUCGCUGGUUCGAGCCCAGUCGUGCCUA